rnacentral:rRNA from 1 species
GUACACACCGCCCGUCACACCAUGGGAGUUGACUCAACCAGAAGACGAYCAGGCUAACCGCAAGGAGGCCUUCGGCGAAGGUGGGGUUGAUGACUGGGGUGAAGUCGUAACAAGGUAGCCGUAGGUGAACCUGCAGAAGGAUCA